CACCUACGGGUGGCUGCAGUUGGGAAUCUUGCACAAUGGGGGAAACCCUGAUGCAGCGACGCCGCGUGGACGAUGAAGGCCUUAGGGUUGUAAAGUCCUUUUUUCAGGAAAGACUUAGGACGGUACCUGAAGAAUAAGCUCCGGCUAACUACGUGCCAGCAGCCGCGGUAAGACGUAGGGAGCAAGCGUUGUCCGGAUUUACUGGGCGUAAAGAGCUCGUAGGCGGCUCGUUAAGUGUGAAGUGAAAUCUCCAGUGCUCAACACGGAAACUGCUUUACAUACUGGCGAGCUUGAGGAAAGCAGAGGUAACUGGAAUUCCUGGUGUAGCGGUGAAAUGCGUUGAUAUCAGGAGGAACACCCAUGGCGAAGGCAGGUUACUGGGCUUUAUCUGACGCUGAGGAGCGAAAGCGUGGGUAGCAAACAGGAUUAGAUACCCUGGUAGUCCACGCCCUAAACUAUGGAUACUAGUCGUGAGAGGUAUCGACCCCUCUCGUGACCGUAGCUAACGCGUUAA
rnacentral:rRNA from 1 species